GUGAGGAAUAUUGGACAAUGGGCGCAAGCCUGAUCCAGCCAUGCCGCGUGCAGGAAGACGCAUCUAUGGUGUGUAAACUGCUUUUGUACGGGAAGAAACACUCCCUCGUGAGGGAGCUUGACGGUACCGUAAGAAUAAGGAUCGGCUAACUCCGUGCCAGCAGCCGCGGUAAUACGGAGGAUCCAAGCGUUAUCCGGAAUCAUUGGGUUUAAAGGGUCCGUAGGCGGUUUAAUAAGUCAGUGGUGAAAGCCCAUCGUUCAACGAUGGAACGGCCAUUGAUACUGUUAGACUUGAAUUACAAGGAAGUAACUAGAAUAUGUAGUGUAGCGGUGAAAUGCUUAGAUAUUACAUGGAAUACCAAUUGCGAAGGCAGGUUACUACUUGUGGAUUGACGCUGAUGGACGAAAGCGUGGGGAGCGAACAGGAUUAGAUACCCUGGUAGUCC
rnacentral:rRNA from 1 species